rnacentral:lncRNA from 1 species
AAAAUAUGUGGUGACAAGAAAGCAUUGCUGUAACAUACCAUGUGAGGAUGAUUCAAAGAUAAAGGCCUAUAAAAAUUAACGGUCAAAGAAGAAUGCGGACUAGUAAAGCAACAACCACCUUAUUAUAAACAGAGGUCUCUCCCUACUAGAAUGCAAGUUCCACGAGAGCAGAAUUUUUGUCUGCGUGGUUAGAAGAGUAUCCAGUACAUAACCCUGGUGCUUCCCGAGUGGCCCUACCUGGUGUACUGUGCUGUCUCCUGGGGACUGUGAGAAUAUCAAAACUGUGCAACUCUUUCCAGUUUCCCUCUCUUGAUCUGUGUUUGUCUUCACCAUACCUCACCCAAGACUCCUUCUGUGGAGGCUGCAGUCCAGGGAGAGUAAAUGAACAAAGAGACUCCUUCUGUGGAGGCUGCAGUCCAGGGAGAGUAAAUGAACAAAGAGGAUUCAGGAUGUACAAGCCUCGCUCCUGGCUGCCUAAGGUGGGACAAAUCAACCUCGGAGAUAUAGCCUGACUCACUUUAAUCCCAGGAUGAGCAUGUACGGUGUAGGGGCAUCAAGUCUGGGGGAAAAGAACAACAGUUUUGUGCUCUCUAUUGGCUGUUGUGAGAGGUACCUAAAAUUUUGACAUCCAUUCCCA